rnacentral:misc_RNA from 1 species
CUGAAAGGGAAAAAGCAAAAUCUGGAAGUAACCUAUUCAACUGACAAUAUCCAUACACUAUGUUGUCCUUUCUCUUGCUAAUUAAGAAUUGUCUUUUUUUUUUAUUAUUAUUAUUGUUUUGGGCCUCACAGUCACAAUGUAGCAUGACGGCCCUUGUACAAACGCAAAAUUUUGUAUCAGUACUUUUUUCUUAUCAGUAAAAACACUACCCG